rnacentral:rRNA from 1 species
GGGCCCGCACAAGCGGAGGAACAUGUGGUUUAAUUCGAUGAUACGCGAGGAACCUUACCCGGGCUUGAAAUGCAUCUGGCGUCCCGAGAGAUCGGGAUUUCCUUCGGGACAGAUGUGUAGGUGCUGCAUGGUUGUCGUCAGCUCGUGCCGUGAGGUGUCGGCUUAAGUGCCAUAACGAGCGCAACCCUCAUCGUUAGUUGCCAUCAGGUAGAGCUGGGGACUCUAACGAGACUGCCAUCGUAAGAUGCGAGGAAGGUGGGGAUGACGUCAAAUCAGCACGGCCCUUACGUCCGGGGCGACACACGUGUUACAAUGGGUGGUACAAAGGGCAGCUACAUGGCGACAUGAUGCCAAUCUCCAAACCACUCUCAGUUCGGAUCGGAGUCUGCAACUCGACUCCGUGAAGCUGGAUUCGCUAGUAAUCGCGCAUCAGCCACGGCGCGGUGAAUACG